AGCAGCCGCGGUAAUUCCAGCUCCAAUAGCGUAUAUUAAAGUUGUUGCAGUUAAAAAGCUCGUAGUUGAAUUUCGGGGUUAGUAGGUUGGUCAUGCCUCUGGUAUGUACUGGUCUCACUGAUUCCUCCUUCCUGAUGAACCUUAAUGCCAUUAAUUUGGUGUUUUGGGGAAUUUGGACUGUUACUUUGAAAAAAUUAGAGUGUUUAAAGCAAGCUAACGCUUGAAUACAUUAGCAUGGAAUAAUGAAAUAGGACGUUCGAUCCUAUUUUGUUGGUUUCUAGGAUUGACGUAAUGAUUAAUAGGGAUAGUUGGGGGCAUUAGUAUUCAAUUGUCAGAGGUGAAAUUCUUGGAUUUAUUGAAGACUAACUACUGCGAAAGCAUUUGCCAAGGAUGUUUUCAUUAAUCAAGAACGAAAGUUAGGGGAUCGAAGACGAUCAGAUACCGUCGUAGUCUUACCCAUAAACUAUGCCGACUAGGGAUCGGAUGAUGUUAAUUUUUU
rnacentral:misc_RNA from 1 species